rnacentral:rRNA from 1 species
AUUGAACGCUGGCGGCAGGCCUAACACAUGCAAGUCGAGCGGAUGAAGGAGGCGUGCUCCUGGAUUCAGCGGCGGACGGGUGAGUAAUGCCUAGGAAGCUGCCUGCUAGGGGGGGAUAACGUCCGCAAACGGGCGCUAAUACCGCAUACGUCCUGAUGGCGAAAGUGAGGGAUCUUCGGACCUCACGCUAUCAGAUGAGCCUAGUUCGGUUUAGAUCGUUGGUGUGGUAAAGGCCUACCAAGGCGACGAUCAGUAACUCGUAUGAGAGGAUGAUCAGUCACACUGGAAGUGAGACACGGUCCAGACUCCUACGGGAGGCAGCAGUGGAGACUCUUGGACAAUGGGCGAAAGCCUGAUCCAGCCAUGCCGCGUGUGUGAAGAAGGUCUUAGGAUUGUAAAGCACUGUAAGUUGGGAGGAAGGGAAGUAAGAUAAUCACUUGAUGUUUUGACGUUACCAAAAGAAUAAGCCCCGGCUAACUUCGUG